AGUUGUUGGUGGGGCCGUUGGAAACAACAAACUGAAAAGAUGUUUUUAGUUUAACCAUGAAGUUCAUUCGUCUGGGGAUUUCAGGAAUCCUGUCCAACAUACACCAAGAUAACAUUGGGCAGAGAUAAGGAAAUGGAGACACAGAAUGCUAAGCAACUUGCUCAAGGCCUCACACAUAGUUAGUCACACCUCUGAUAAGUCAGGAGCCGGGAUUCAAUCCCCAUUAAUGGAUCCAGAAGACUAACAAUCUCCAGAAACGGAAUCCAUUCUGUACUCUGACAACACCGGAGACUGAUGCGAAAGAUUAAAUCUCUGCUGGAACUACAAGAACUUUGAUUCAACAUUUUAUGCAGGACUAGAUAAUUCUUUGUUGUAGGGAGACUAUUCUGUGUGCUAUCACAUGGUUAGUGGCGUCUCUCUGGUCUCUACUCACUAGAUGCCUCAUGUCCCAAGUUGUGACUAUCAUAGGUGUCUUCAAACAUUACCAAUGUCUUCUUGGGUGGAAGGAGACAGGGGAGCAAAAUCACCCCCAGUGGAGAAUCAGUGGCUUAAUGUACUCUAAUAAAACUCAUUAUUGCACAGUGUGGCACUUUUUUCUAAGACCAGUGAAAUUAUGGUAUCAUUUCUCAAAGUUAUUUACAGAAGUUCCUCAAAUACUUUUAUUCAGCAUUUCCAUGGGGACUUGUUUGCAGCUGCCCCUAAAGAUGAGAAUGUUCUAGAAGUGGGUAGAGACUUGAGAGGGGAGGUAAAAUAGCAAAAAUGACAAAAGAAGACACAAACUGUUUAAUCACCUUCUUUUUUCUUAGGUUAGGACUAUGCUGCCUAGGGCCCUUGUGUUUCCCUAGAUUUGAAACAUCAACUGACUGCAGGACCCUCUGGUCAUAUCAGAGCUUCUGCCACGGCUCCUAGAAGCCUUUGAAGCUGACAAAAAAAGGUUGGAAGCCACUCUCAUCUGCACAUACUAUUUUUGCACAUGAUGUUCCCUCUGCCUGGAAUGCUUCACUUCCACCUUCCCUUCAUCACUUUCAAUGAUAACCCCCAGGUCUAUUUCCUUGGUCAACGUUACCUUCAGAAACAAUCAUGUUUGUUCAUUGACUUAACUGCUGAAUGUCUGACUUCUUCACCACUCCCCAGUUACCACUAGACUGGAAGCUCAAUGGAGUAGGGACCCAUAACUCUAUUAAAAACAUGACUGAUGCAUAAUGUAUGUUCAAUAAAUAUGUGUUUAAAUUAAUUCACUAAUCCUAGACCCUACCUUAUACUAUUUAAGCUUUUUACAUCUCUGAACCACAGACAAACAUUCAUGAAAUGAUCUUUAUAGGGAAGGCAUGACAUGAGUCACUAGGAAGAGUCUUAAGAGUUGAGUCACUGAACAUCAUACUAUUGUAAGCCCGAAGGGGUGGUUUGGUUUAGGCAGCCCAGUAACCAUGGAAAAGACUCGCAGCCAAACUGUUGUCUAUGCACCAAGAUCUUCCUAUCCUAGUGUGGGAACAUUAGUCUCUAUGUGACUCAGCAACUUUUUGCUCCUACUGUGCACUCCACCCUUGUUAUUCCUUCUUGUAAAGAAGUCUUGGGACUUUGUCCAACUGACUGUGCUCACACUUCAUUGUUUUGUCCUCUCUUCUUUCUCAUUCAGGAGCUCUCUUGGGAAUAGAAGAUUUCAUGUGGGCUGAAGAGAAACAUAAAUGUAAUAGAAAAACAAAACUGGGAAAGGAAAAAAAAUGUUUUUAAAUGAAACUAUGAAGUGACUAUAGGUUGAUUCAUCAGUAGAAACAUAUGGAAACACUUAUCUCAAAAUUCAACAGUUAUGAAACUUGAAACCUGCUUCAGUAUUUUAUUCAGUGGUAUGUAUUUGACCUUCAGGAAUUCCGUGUUAACUUUCUGCUCAAAGACCAAGGAAACAUCUAAUUGAUUGAUCAAAAGAUUCAUAAUUAGAUCCAUUUUUUCCUGAAUCCAUAUUGGAGAAACAAGAAAUAGAUGACCUAAAAAAGAAUCCUUGAGUGGAUGUCUCAGCAGCCAGGAAAAUUCCAAAUAAAGUUUGCUUUGUGUC